UAGAUAGCCUGCAUGUCUAGUAUAAGCAUUCUUGUACUGUGARACUGCGAACGGCUCAUUAAAUCAGUUAUAAUUUACUUGAUCGUAUUUACCUUACAUGGAURACCGUAGGAAUUCUAGAGCGUAAUACAUGAMAAARAUCCGGACCUACUCUUUUGGAGGAAAGGAUGAAUUUAUUAVAUUACCAACCAACGCAGGGYAUUUAAACUAUAAUGGGACUUGUUCCUAUAUGGGCUCUGUUCCCUCUUUUGGGAYACAWCAAGGUGAUUCACAAUAACUAAUCGAAUCGCAGAGGCAUUUAUGUCGGCGAUGAUACAUACAAAUUUCUGCCCUAUCAACUUUCGAUGGYAGUAUARAGGACUACCAUGGUGAUAACGGGUAACGGGGAAUUAGGGUUCGAUUCCGGAGAGGGGGCCUGAGAAAUGGCCACCACUUCCAAGGAAGGCAGCAGGCGCGCAAAUUACCCAAUCCUAAUUCAGGGAGGUAGUGACAAGAAAUACCAAUGCAAGCAUAUUGUUUUGUGUUUGGAAUGAGUGUAAUUUAAAAACCUUAUCAAGGAACCAUUGGAGGGCAAGUCUGGU
rnacentral:rRNA from 1 species